GAGUUUGAUCAUGGCUCAGAUUGAACGCUGGCGGCAGGCCUAACACAUGCAAGUCGAGCGGAUGACGGGAGCUUGCUCCUUGAUUCAGCGGCGGACGGGUGAGUAAUGCCUAGGAAUCUGCCUGGUAGUGGGGGACAACGUUUCGAAAGGAACGCUAAUACCGCAUACGUCCUACGGGAGAAAGCAGGGGACCUUCGGGCCUUGCGCUAUCAGAUGAGCCUAGGUCGGAUUAGCUAGUUGGUGGGGUAAUGGCUCACCAAGGCGACGAUCCGUAACUGGUCUGAGAGGAUGAUCAGUCACACUGGAACUGAGACACGGUCCAGACUCCUACGGGAGGCAGCAGUGGGGAAUAUUGGACAAUGGGCGAAAGCCUGAUCCAGCCAUGCCGCGUGUGUGAAGAAGGUCUUCGGAUUGUAAAGCACUUUAAGUUGGGAGGAAGGGCAGUAAGUUAAUACCUUGCUGUUUUGACGUUUACCGACACGAAUAAGCACCGGCUAACUCUGUGCCAGCCGCCG
rnacentral:rRNA from 1 species